AAAUCAAGCUAAUGAUGGAAAAUGUACGUUAUAAACCUAGUCUCACAUGGAACCACAAACAUACAACAAGAGUUUUUUUUUGGAUAUAAACUCAAAACUAAUCUAAGCAUGCAUACAUGAAUUUUAGGACAAAUACAUGAUGAAAACGAACAAAUGCUUUUUUUUUUUGAACAAAUGCUUUCGAAUGCAUAAGCAAAUAAGUUAUUAUAUAUAUAUAUAUAUUUUGGAAAUAAGCAAAUAAGCAAAUAAGUUUUUUUGGAAAUAAGCAAAUAAGUUAUUGUUUCUAUAUAUUUUGUUUUUG
rnacentral:lncRNA from 1 species